rnacentral:rRNA from 1 species
GCCGCGGUACCCUAACCGUGCAAAGGUAGCGCAAUCACCUGUCCCUUAAUUGAGGACUAGUAUGAACGGCUAAAUGAGGGCCCCCCUGUCUCCUGCGACCAAUCAAUGAAUUUGAUCCUUCAGUACAAAAGCUGAGAUACACACAUAAGACGAAAAGACCCUAUGGAGCUUUAAGCCAUUAUACUACCAAACCACAGCCCCCUUUCCACCGCCCUAGUAUAUACUUUCAGUUGGGGCAACUACGGAGCAAAACAAAAACUCCACGAACAAACGUCUAAUACACGCAGUAUUUCAGGCUGCCACGCCACACACCCCAGACCUUAGACCCAGUCUAACUGAGCAACGGACCAAGUUACCCUAGGGAUAACAGCGCCAUCUUCCCCCCAGAGCCCAUAUCCACGGGGAGGCUUACGACCUCGAUGUUGGAUCAGGACCCCCCGGCGGUGCAGCCGCUGCCAAAGGUUCGUUUGUUCAACGACUAACGUCCU